GCACUCGUAGCUCAACGGAUAGAGCAUUUGACUUCGGAUCAAAGGGUUGGGGGUUCAAGUCCCUCCGAGUGCGCCA
rnacentral:tRNA from 3 species